GAUGAAGAACGUAGCGAAAUGCGAUACGUAAUGUGAAUUGCAGAAUUCCGCGAAUCAUCGAAUCUUUGAACGCACAUUGCGCCCUUUGGUAUUCCGAAGGGCAUGCCUGUUCGAGCGUCAUUUGCACCCUCAAGCUCUGCUUGGUAUUGGAGGCCGCCCCGCUGGGGCGCCCCCGAAACACAGCGGCGACGUAGCCGGACUCCCUGGCGUAGUGACAUUUAGCUGUCGCCCCGGAGUUGUCGGUCGUGCGUUAGCCGGACAACGCCCCCUAUUUUUGAAAUCGACCUCGGAUCAGGUAGGACUACCCGCUGAACUUAAGCAUAUCAAUAAGCGGAGGA
rnacentral:misc_RNA from 1 species